rnacentral:rRNA from 1 species
CCUACGGGUGGCAGCAGUGAGGAAUAUUGGUCAAUGGACGAGAGUCUGAACCAGCCAAGUAGCGUGAAGGAUGACUGCCCUAUGGGUUGUAAACUUCUUUUAUAUGGGAAUAAAAUGUUCCACGUGUGGGAUUUUGUAUGUACCAUAUGAAUAAGGAUCGGCUAACUCCGUGCCAGCAGCCGCGGUAAUACGGAGGAUCCGAGCGUUAUCCGGAUUUAUUGGGUUUAAAGGGAGCGUAGGUGGAUUGUUAAGUCAGUUGUGAAAGUUUGCGGCUCAACCGUAAAAUUGCAGUUGAAACUGGCAGUCUUGAGUACAGUAGAGGUGGGCGGAAUUCGUGGUGUAGCGGUGAAAUGCUUAGAUAGCACGAAGAACUCCGAUUGCGAAGGCAGUUCACUGGACUGCAACUGACACUGAGGCUCGAAAGUGUGGGUAUCAAACAGUAUUAGAUACCCUUGUAGUC